rnacentral:rRNA from 1 species
AGAGUUAAAAAGUACGUGAAAUUGUUGAAAGGGAAACGAUUGAAGCCAGUCGUACUGACGGGAAAUCAACCUCUUGAGUGUUUGUCGUGUAUGACGUUGAGCUUCACGGCCUUCGUUGCCUGCGUUAUGGUGCUUUUGAGGUGUACUUUUCCGUAUGGUAAGUCAACAUCGAUUUUGAUCGUCAUAAAAUGAUCGGAGGAAUGUGGCUCUGAUCUUGUAUUGGAGUGUUAUAGCCUUUGGUAGAUGUGACGAUUGGGAUCGAGGAUUGCAACGAAUACCCUUUGGGCUAUCCGUCUGACCUCUGAAAGUCGCUCGGGUGUCGAAAGCGUGCUUAUGACAUUCUAGUUGGCGGUCAAAAGGUUAGAACGUGAUUACAUUCGUUAAGGAUGUUGACGUAAUGGCUUUAAACGACC